rnacentral:rRNA from 1 species
UACAGAGGAGCCAAGCGUUGUCCGGAUUGACUGGGCGUAAAGCGCACGCAGGCGGCUGCGCGCGUGGGUGUGAAAUCUGGCCGCUUAACGGCCAGGCGCCAUCCCAUACGGCGCGGCUUGAGCCUUGCAGAGGGCGGUGGAAUUGCCGGUGUAGUGGUGAAAUGCGUAGAGAUCGGCAGGAACACCCAGGGGAAACCAGCCGCCUGGGCAAGCGCUGACGCUGAGGUGCGAGAG